CCUACGGGAGGCAUCAGUGGGGAAUAUUGCACAAUGGGGGAAACCCUGAUGCAGCGACGCCGCGUGAGUGAAGAAGUAUUUCGGUACGUAAAGCUCUAUCAGCAGGGAAGAAAAUGACGGUACCUGACUAAGAAGCCCCGGCUAACUACGUGCCAGCAGCCGCGGUAAUACGUAGGGGGCAAGCGUUAUCCGGAUUUACUGGGUGUAAAGGGAGCGUAGACGGCAGCGCAAGUCUGGAGUGAAAGCCCAUGGCUUAACCAUGGAACUGCUGUGGAAACUGGGCAGCUAGAGUGCAGGAGAGGUAAGCGGAAUUCCUAGUGUAGCGGUGAAAUGCGUAGAUAUUAGGAGGAACACCAGUGGCGAAGGCGGCUUACUGGACUGUAACUGACGUUGAGGCUCGAAAGCGUGGGGAGCAAACAGGAUUAGAUACCCUUGUAGUC
rnacentral:rRNA from 1 species